UGUAUAUAUAUAUACAUAUAUAUGUGCGUGUAUAUAUACAUAUAUGUAUAUAUAUACGUGCACAUAUAUAUGUAUAUACAUAUACACACACAUAUAUGUAUAUACACAUACAUAUAUA
rnacentral:miRNA from 10 species